rnacentral:rRNA from 1 species
UGGGGAAUUUUGGACAAUGGGCGAAAGCCUGAUCCAGCCAUUCCGCGUGCAGGAUGAAGGCCCUCGGGUUGUAAACUGCUUUUGUACAGAACGAAAAAGCUCUUUCUAAUACAGAGAGUCCAUGACGGUACUGUAAGAAUAAGCACCGGCUAACUACGUGCCAGCAGCCGCGGUAAUACGUAGGGUGCAAGCGUUAAUCGGAAUUACUGGGCGUAAAGCGUGCGCAGGCGGUUUUGUAAGACAGAGGUGAAAUCCCCGGGCUCAACCUGGGAACUGCCUUUGUGACUGCAAGGCUGGAGUGCGGCAGAGGGGGAUGGAAUUCCGCGUGUAGCAGUGAAAUGCGUAGAUAUGCGGAGGAACACCGAUGGCGAAGGCAAUCCCCUGGGCCUGCACUGACGCUCAUGCACGAAAGCGUGGGGAGCAAACAGG